GUCACUCUUUAACUCAGCAUUUGCUUUUUGAGAACACAGUAGUCAGUGGUUGGAUAUAUUGGUGGCAAGGAAAUGUGAAGUAGAAAGAAAAGAGAAACAGAUGUGACAGAUGUCCUUCAGGGAACAAGUUGAUACCUAUGUUAUCUCUGUUUGAACAGUAAGAGAAGGCAGUGGCUGUUGGCUAGGUGGACUUAGCCAUCCCAUUGCCAAGGAGCCUCACCUGAGGGAAUGGUACAGACAAAACCCUGGGCUCUGAAUAGAUAGACAGACAUGCCCAGAGAAGGAGAAACUAUUUUUAAAAGAAAGGAAAGUGAAAUGGGAUUAUGGGUUCAAAAAAAAAAAAAAAGACUUUACACUGUAUGUCAGCCAUGGUAGAAGCCAACUGAAGAUAACCUGGGAUCUCGACCAUUCUACCAGGGAUCACCUGCUUAAGUUGAAGACACAAAUGGAAGGUGCUUGGCUCAUGAGGAGAUUCCCAAGGAGUUCUCAUCUUUCCUGUCAUCCUUUCAGAUGCUUUUGGGUUAUCAAGGCUGUAGAAAAUACCAGAGCCUGCUUAUGGAGUUGGCCAUGGAGUACAUAUAAGUGUACCUUGCUCCUCUCUUUGCUAUGAAAAAGUUCUAGUUCAAUUAGUGAGCUGUGACUUGGGUACGACUACUGCAAAAAAAAUAGUUCAAUAAUGUUGUGCUUAUGUUCUUGCUGCUGCCAUUAUUAUAUUUAUAUAUCUCACCACUUGUAUGUAUGACCUCACUUGAUGGUUAUAGGUAUGGAAAUUGCCAGCAGUCUGGGGAAGUUGGCCACAAACUCCCAAUAGAGGACAUAUGUAACCACCACCAUGUUCCCUUCCAUUCUUAAAGACCCAUGUGUGGGCUUUCUGGUCUUGUAUAACACAUUGCAAUCAGAUGGUGAGAUUAGUGCUGUUCUGAGGCUGUUAAUUCUAGUUCCUGACUUGUUUCAUUUAUAAUAAUGGAGACAGUUUCUUUGGGGAAGCUUUUCUUUGAAAGGGCCAAAUUGCCCUACAGAUAAAUGAGCUGCCGGGCAGUGUAGAAAUUCUUGUCCAAAUGUUGCCAAAUACUGACUUCAUAGGGGAUAUCAAGCUGCUGUUUAUUAAUCGGAAUGUCUUAAAAGCCUUCCUGCUUGCUCUCUCUGUUAUAGAUGGUGUCUUAGCCAGUCCCAAGUUUUUCCAAUGAACCUGAUUUUAAUACAUGGUAUUUUUGUAUGCUAAACUGGUGUCUUGUCCUUUGUAUAUGUGGUAAUGUUCAUUUUACGACUACUGUUAAAACACAUUUGCUAUGAUUAAAAUUCAAAAUGAUUUCAAGU
rnacentral:lncRNA from 1 species